rnacentral:ncRNA from 1 species
UUCCGUGAUAGAGGCGCGAUAAUUAAGAGUAUUUAGAUGGACUUAAGCAGGAUGAAGUUUAACGAAAGGAAUUGUCGCCGAAGUUUAGUAUUAAUGCUUUAAUAUACUAUGCUGGUUUUGCAGAUAAUAUCUUUAAGACUGUCAUAAAGGAAUUUUAUGGAGAGCUAUCACUCGC